AUGGGUCUGGCGAAGGAUGGCGCCGAGAUGGAGGAGGGGACAUUGGAGAUUGGCAUAGAGUAUAGAACUGUCUCCGGUGUGGCAGGGCCAUUGGUUAUUUUGGACAAAGUAAAGGGCCCAAAGUAUCAGGAGAUUGUGAACAUCCGAUUGGGAGAUGGCACCACUCGUCGUGGUCAAGUCCUCGAAGUUGAUGGUGAAAAAGCUGUUGUGCAGGUAUUUGAAGGUACUUCAGGGAUAGACAACAAGUAUACUACUGUACAGUUCACAGGCGAGGUUUUGAAAACUCCCGUCUCACUUGAUAUGCUUGGACGCAUUUUUAAUGGUUCUGGAAAACCUAUUGAUAAUGGCCCCCCUAUAUUGCCUGAGGCUUACUUGGAUAUUUCUGGAAGUUCUAUCAACCCAAGUGAGAGAACCUAUCCAGAAGAGAUGAUUCAAACAGGAAUAUCCACCAUUGAUGUCAUGAACUCGAUUGCUCGAGGGCAAAAAAUUCCUCUUUUCUCUGCUGCUGGACUUCCUCAUAAUGAAAUUGCUGCUCAAAUUUGUCGCCAAGCUGGCCUCGUUAAAAGGUUGGAGCAAAGCAAGCAUGCAGCAGAGGGAGGUGAAGAAGACAAUUUUGCAAUUGUGUUUGCUGCUAUGGGAGUAAACAUGGAAACGGCACAAUUUUUCAAGCGUGACUUCGAAGAAAAUGGUUCGAUGGAGCGGGUCACCCUUUUCCUGAAUUUGGCAAAUGACCCCACUAUUGAGCGUAUUAUCACUCCUCGAAUUGCCCUAACAACUGCUGAAUAUUUGGCAUAUGAAUGUGGGAAGCAUGUUCUUGUGAUUCUGACAGAUAUGAGCUCAUAUGCCGAUGCACUUCGCGAGGUCUCAGCAGCACGAGAAGAGGUACCUGGUAGGCGUGGUUAUCCUGGGUAUAUGUAUACUGAUUUGGCCACCAUAUAUGAGCGAGCUGGGCGUAUCGAGGGAAGGAAAGGAUCAAUUACCCAAAUUCCUAUUCUUACAAUGCCUAAUGAUGAUAUCACUCAUCCAACUCCUGAUCUUACGGGAUACAUUACCGAAGGGCAGAUAUAUAUUGACAGACAGCUUCAUAAUAGACAGAUAUACCCACCCAUCAACGUCCUGCCAUCUCUUUCUCGUCUGAUGAAGAGUGCUAUUGGUGAAGGUAUGACACGCCGGGAUCAUUCAGAUGUGUCCAAUCAGCUGUAUGCCAACUACGCCAUUGGGAAGGAUGUUCAAGCCAUGAAAGCAGUUGUCGGAGAGGAGGCUCUUUCAUCUGAGGACCUGCUCUAUUUAGAAUUCCUUGACAAGUUUGAGAGGAAAUUUGUAGCGCAAGGAGCAUACGAUACUCGGAACAUUUUUCAGUCACUUGAUCUGGCAUGGACAUUGCUACGCAUAUUCCCCCGAGAACUUCUCCACCGUAUUCCUGCGAAGACCUUGGAUCAGUUCUACAGCAGAGAUGCCACCCAUUGA
rnacentral:rRNA from 1 species